GAUGAACGCUGACAGCAUGCUUAACACAUGCAAGUCAACUGUGGCGGACGGGUGAGUAACGCGUAAAGAACUUGCCUCACAGUUAGGGACAACAUUUGGAAACGAAUGCUAAUACCUGAUACUGUGAGAGAGCUUUGCGUCCCAUUAGCUAGUUGGGGAGGUAACGGCUCACCAAGGCGAUGAUGGGUAGCCGGCCUGCGAGGGUGAUCGGCCACAAGGGGACUGGGGCACAGCCCUUCGUCCUACGGGAGGCAGCAGUGGGGAAUAGUGGACGAUGGUCCAAAGUCUGAUCCAGCAAUUCUGUGUGCAAGAUGAAGUUUUCGGAAUGAAAAGAGCUUUCAGUUGGGAAGCGGUACCAACAGAAGAAGUGACGGCUAAAUACGUGCCAGCAGCCGCGGUAAUUC
rnacentral:rRNA from 1 species